CGUAGGGUGCGAGCGUUAAUCGGGAUUACUGGGCGUAAAGCGUGCGCAGGCGGUUUAGUAAGACAGGCGUGAAAUCCCCGGGCUCAACCUGGGAACUGCGCUUGUGACUGCUAAGCUAGAGUACGGCAGAGGGGGUGGAAUUCCACGUGUAGCAGUGAAAUGCGUAGAGAUGUGGAGGAACACCAAUGGCGAAGGCAGCCCCCUGGGUCGAUACUGACGCUCAUGCACGAAAGCGUGGGUAGCAAACAGGAUUAGAUACCCUGGUAGUCCACGCCCUAAACGAUGUCAACUAGGUGUUGGGAGGGUAAAACCUUUUAGUACCGGAGCUAACGCGUGAAGUUGACCGCCUGGGGAGUACGGCCGCAAGGUUA
rnacentral:rRNA from 1 species